AUCGACCAUACAUCUCUUCACCUCGAAAUAACGUGUCAAUCUCGUCAAUCCCGGGUUGAGAAGGCUUUAUGGAAUAUAAUUGACUCAGAUCCUCAACUUUAUGAUCAGGAUAUUUUUUGUGAAACUCUUGGAUCUCUCCCAGCGAUUUAUAAAACUCUGUUAAAUCAUCGUCUGCAUUGAUACGCGCAACUUCUUGAUCCUUUAAUCUAGCGAAUUCAAGUUAGCGGUCAAUACUACAAUUUUCUUGAUUUUACUUACCGAUCAGAGGAUUCAUGGGAAACUAACAACUUUUUGCUAGUUUCGCGAAAUUGGUUAAGAAAUUGUGCACUCUGAUGCUCAAGCCGAAGCCGUUCACGAGGAGCCUUAGGGUU